rnacentral:rRNA from 1 species
UACGUAGGGUGCAAGCGUUAUCCGGAAUUAUUGGGCGUAAAGCGUGCGAAGGCUGUUUUGUAAGUUUGAGGUUAAAUCCGGUCGCUCAACGAUCGAAUCGUCUCAAAAACUACUUAACUAGAGAGUGAUAGAGGCAACUAGAAUUCUGCAUGUAGGGGUAAAAUCCGUUGAUAUGCAGAGGAAUACCAAAAGCGAAGGCAGGUUGCUGGGUCAUUUCUGACGCUGUUGCACGAAAGCGUGGGGAGCGAACAGGAUUAGAUACCCUGGUAGUCCACGCUGUAAACGAUGGAUACUCGAUUUUAGAGGGAUUCGACCCCCUCUUGAGUCCAAGCUAACGCGUUAAGUAUCCCGCCUGGGGAGUACGGUCGCAAGAUUAAAACUCAAAGGAAUAGACGGGGACCCACACAAGCGGUGGAGCAUGUGGUUUAAUUCGACGAUAAACGGGGAACCUUACCAAGGCUUGACAUCUCCGGAACUCGAUAGAAAUAUUGAGGUGCCGUAAGGAACCGGAUGACAGGUGCUGCAUGGUCGUCGUCAGCUCGUGCCUUGAGGUGUUCGGUUAAGUCCGUAAACGAGCGCAACCCAUGUCCUGUGUUGCAUUUUUCACAGGAGACUGCCGGCUCCAAGUCGGAGGAAGGUAUGGAUGACGUCAGAUCAGCAUGGCCCUUAUGCCUUGGGCCACACACGUGCUACAAUGGCCGGUACAAUGGGCAGCUAACCCGCAAGGGGGAGCCAAUCCCAUCAAAGCCGGUCCAAGUUCGGAUUGAGGGCUGCAAUUCGUCCUCAUGAAGUUGGAAUCGCUAGUAACCGCGAAUCAGACAUGUCGCGGUGAAUAUGUUCCUGGGUCU